UACGAAGGGUGCAAGCGUUACUCGGAAUUACUGGGCGUAAAGCGUGCGUAGGUGGUGAGUUAAGUCUGUCGUGAAAGCCCCGGGCUCAACCUGGGAAUGGCGAUGGAUACUGGCUCGCUAGAGUGCGGUAGAGGGGAGUGGAAUUCCCGGUGUAGCAGUGAAAUGCGUAGAGAUCGGGAGGAACAUCAGUUGCGAAGGCGGCUCUCUGGACCAGCACUGACACUGAGGCACGCAAGCGUGGGGAGCAAACAGG
rnacentral:rRNA from 1 species